rnacentral:lncRNA from 1 species
AGCUCUUCUACCCAGCUACCAUCUCCUCUACAGCAAGAGGCCUCCUUCUUCCCUAGUCCACUUUGUAUGUGGCUGGAAUGUUAGAGAGCACGUAGUUUUCCAUGGUACUUCAUGACCUUUCUUAGAUUCUUAAUGACCCUAAUGUUGAAUAGGACCUAAAGUCUUGGGCUAGUGGAAAAGUUAAAACAAUGUUCAGGACUCGUAUCGAUGAUCAUCCUAAUAAUUGGUUUGAGCAUCGUCACCUUCCUCUUUUAUCUGCAGAGGGUUUGCAAUGACUGCUUGAGAAUUCAGAGCCAAAUAUCUGGCCCACAACUGGAAAGCGAAAAGGACAAUGCACCAGGAGAGCUCUGCCCUGCUGGGAACCAGGCCUUUCCCUCUGCGGGUGGCUGCUGGCCACCCCGGGCCCUUGGAGCUGCAAAGUGUAUAGAUCCUGUUCUGAGGUCAGGAAGCAGAACUGCAUGGGCCCCCAAGCCUCACAAGAUCCCUCUGUUCCACGAACACACACGUCCACUUGACAUCCCAGUCUGGAGUCUCUACAUCACAUCACAGGCUGGUCCGGAGAGGGGAGAGUGCCUGUGGGUUCACCUGAAUGAUCUGCAGUUUCUCAAGGCAUGAGGACUGAAACUGGGGCUGCUGAGGUUGCAUCCUCUCAGGCCUCCUGACCCCGAGACAUCCAGGAAUUCCUGCUUGGGGUUGAAGAGAUCCCCCUUCCACCUGACCCUACGGGAAAAAAUAAACUUUCCAAAGGCGGGUUUGCACCAAC